ACCAGGAUAGCUGAGUGGUUGAGGCGUUGGACUUAAUAUCCAAUGGAUACAUAUCUGCGUGGGUUUAAUCCCCACUUCUGGUA